UCUCUCUCUCUCUCUCUCUCUCUCUCUCUCUCUCUCUCUCUCCUCUAAUUAGUUAAUAUGUAUUUCCCAAAGUACUUCUCUUUUUUUUUUGUUAAGAGAAUAUUAUUAUACAUUCAAUUUAAUCCAUCGUGUUCCAAUCUUCUUUGUACUUUUAUGUUGCAGUAACACUAACAAUAUAUUAUAUGACAAAUAUUUUUAUCAUAAUCCAUGUGUAUUUCUAUAUAAUAUUUUUGUACGUAAUAAUAAUAUUUUCAUUUUUUAAUUUAUAUUUAUAAUAUAAGCGUUUGUCUCUAAAUUAUUUUUUAUUAUUAAUGCUUGGAUUUUACAGUUGAACAUAACAUAGUAAAAGCGUAUAAUUUCUACUUGUCAAAGUCGAGAAUUCUUUCGUCACCAUUUCAUUUAUUUCGUGCAGCCACGAACGACAGUCGACAUAAUGUCGCGGUAAGCGGACAAUGUACUUAAAACUUUAAAUAUGUUGACUUCAGAACUUUGCGUUACGUCACAGUGCCAACAUCCCAAGAAACUAACUGCAAUCCUCAGGCAAGCACAAACGAGGGGCACAAAUACGCAAUACGCGAGCGUGGCAAAGGAUUAUCUAAUUAAACCGCGCGCGAGUUGCGUCACGGCCUGCGUAACAUAGCUAAUCGUCUUCGGCAUUGCAGCGCCAUUAUAACAAGAACGAAUCGACAUGUAGGCAGCUUAGAUAAUUGCCUAUCGACGAUUCGCUAAAUUAAAACGCAUCUUACGUAAUAUAUAAGGAUGCAGGAUUACAGCGCGCGCGUACGCGUGCGCACAACUUACCAAUUAAUGACGUUUUGAUUCAUUAGCACUUAAGAGCAUUCCCUUACAAAAACUAAUUAAAGAAUCCGAGCCGCAAAAUUAAAGUUUUUAUUGAUAAUUUUUGCAUAUAAACUCAAACUAAUAAACGCAAUGGACAGUUUACCACAUUUGUCGCUGACGAAAGACUAGCUGAAAUAUGAUACAAUUUAUUGUUGUUUAGAAUUAUUUAUGCAUAUAUAUUUUAAUACAAAAUUAAAAAGAAAAAAUAUAUCCUUAUAUUAAUUUAUUAUAUAAUUAUUCAAAAGUAAAAAUAUUUAAGUUUGAUAUUUUUUUUAUAACUAUUACUAUUCUUUCUUAAUUAGACCCAAGUAUGUCACUAUUCGGUUUUGUAUAAGUCCAAGUUUAUGUACCUACUAGUAUUAUAUUAAUGCUAACUUCAAGUAAAUUAAGAAAGCAUUUGUAUCAUGACAAGGCUGUCCCAAGUUUCGAAUAAUAAAACUUUCUUGCAUUUCGCGGUAAUCAAUCUGCUUGUCUACGGUUUGGAAACCGCGGCUGUAAGUAACCAUAAUAUAGUUACCCGACCGAUAAUUAACAUUAAUAUUUCAACAUAAUCGAUCGAAUGGCUUAAGACGCUUUUAUUAGUCUGGUGGAGGGAAACGCCAAUCCUACGUAAUCUUUUGUUAUGACGCUAAUCUUGCUCGACGGAAAGAAAGAGAGAGAAUACUCGCCUCGAAAGUCGCUGAGCUAUUCAGCUUUUUCAUUAAAUUAUGCCCGCAUGGAAAGUACGGUCCUUUCACGAGUUGUCACUGUGCCAGUCUUAAAUAGAAGAUUGCCCGGAGCGAUUGUUCUCCCGAUCGAAAGAUUCCAUCGGCGGACAACUUUUAAUGUACAAAGAUCGCCAGGUCCUGUGUUCUAUCGCAAGUCCCCAUAAUUAAAGGUCACAUCUACCCUCCCCUCUGUAAUUGAAAGGACAAGGAAGCGAAAUGCAAAUAAAGCCGAAUUAAACUCCACUGAAACCGUUCGCCAAAUAGCUGGUGGUCUUCACCGUCCACAAAGCGUUAUACUGAAAAGCACGAGGAUCUCAAAUGCUUUUAUCCCUUUCCGCUUCACGUAAUUUUAAUUUAAUGGAAUCGUGUUCUGAGAAAGUAAUCAAAAUAAUUUAUUAACUUCAUAAAUGUCAGUUUAGAAUUAAAAAGCUAUUAUUAAUAUUUGCAGAUUAGAAAGACAAGUCAUAAAAUAAACAUAUAUAAAAAUAUCUAGAAUAUAGCCUCUAUUAUCCAUUAAAUCGUUAUAUGAUUAAAAAUUAUAAGUAUCUACUGGAUAAUUUUAGAAUUAAAAAAAGAGUAAUUUUCUCUCAAUUAGAAAAAAUUUACGUGAAAAACGAUGUCGGAAAAGUUAAGACUGUAAAUUACAUAUAACCGUAAGCACGGAUAAACAUGAAUGGUGUCGUAUUUGCUAUCCUCAAGUGGCUCUCGCGGAUACUCACUCACAUGAAAGAAACACGUCGCGAGGCGUGUUACGAAGAAAAACGCCAAGCGAGAUAUCGUUAUCGCACGUUUCAUGAAUACACCGCGAUAAAAUGUAUAUAAGCUGUCCCGAGUGGCACGCGUAUUUUUCAACUGCUCGUGCAAUUGCUCGCGCAUGUUCGUAUUGCACCGUGCGUUUCGUUUGCAAUAAUCGUGUUGUUUCAACAAAGUAACUCGUAACAAAAUGUUCGUUGAUAUCACAUAAAAAUAGCACAAUACAUCUUUUUCACAGAAUUGUUUAAAAAUAGCGUAUUAUUUUUUUAAUCACUUCUUUGAGAGAAGUGAUUAAAAUAAAUAGAAAAUAUAUUACACUGUACAUGUUUAAAGCGUCUCAUAUCAAACAAAAUCAAUUUGACGUGUUAAUAAAUUUCCGAAAGACAAUAUUGCUUUCCUUAAUUUCCCUCGAACGCGAAAACACAAUGCCGAAAGUUCUAUAUUAAUCAUCCGCUGUCUUAAUAAAGGUGCCAUCGAAACUCUUAGAAGUUUUAGAAGCUGCGCUUAAACCAAUCUCGCUUAAAACGGUUAAUGGACUAAAGAAUUACAUCAAGGCGUUUGAAGCUCGCGCAAUCAAGUAAUCUGGAGUCCCGCAGAGACGGCCCCGACUCGAUUAGCCUUGUACAUCCUUACAUCCAUAUAUGUAGGGGCUUAUUCGCGAUAAUGGCGGGCGUGAACGAUAUUUCACGGCAGGCCCUAUAUCAUCCCCCGAACUACAGCGUAUAAGCAAGUGCGAUCGCGGAUAACGAGCGACGGCUUUGUCCGUAAGCUGUCACGGGUUGUGCAACCUGAUUCCGAGGAGGGAGAGCAUAGUAGGAAAUUACAAGCGCGCGCUCGUGUCCGCGCUACGAUCGAUCGAUGCGCCGAUGGUUUUUCAAAAUUGUCUCCUCGCCCUGUAAUCAUCUGUCAAUCCAGCCCCACCCGGGAGGACAAAGAUAUUAAAUGAUAUUUCGCGUCAUAAACAAAAUUUAACCUAGUUUCGCAAGUAGAAGGAGAGAGGAAAAGAGAGAGAGAGAGAGAGAGAGAGAGGGAAAACUCCUCUUCCACCGCUGAUAAUCAACUUUGCCGGCGUUAGUGACGAUUAAUAAUCGCGCCACGCUGGCAGCUGCGAGUGAAGGCUCGGGUUCAGUGUUUUGGAAACGUUAACUCGGACGUAUUAAGUCCGCUAAUUAUAUCGUAUCCUGUGUACAUGUGCGAAUUACCGCGCACAAAGGCAGAAAUUUCGAACGCUCGGCGAGUAACGGCGUGAAAUAAUUACAUAAUGCUUCAAAAUUACGCUUCCGGCCGACAUCACUCGAGACCUACCACUUUUUACCUCCUCGUCGUUAUACAAAUCGGCUGUUUAUACUCUCGCGGGACAUUCGUAGUCGCAAAGAGAACGUAUAUGCACUCUGGCUUGGAUUCCGUCGAAUUCUUCGGGCUUACAACUGACUUAGCGAGAUCCCUUUAAGGUCCUACGCGUCUGCCGCUUUAAUCUCAUGGAAGGUAAAUUUAUCGUCAGGCAAACAAGGCAGGCGACAGUGUUUGCACCUUAUUAUAGGUCCCUCGCGAAUUUUUAUAUAUAUACGCACUCCGUGUACUUUUACGGGGCGCAUAUUCGAAGAUAUAAUAAAUACACGAACUGCAGCUCUCGCACAGAAAACAAGUUGCCUGUCCUUAUCUUGAGCAAAUUGUACACAAUAAUCAUUUUCUCCAGUUAAUAAUAAAUUCAUAAAUGUUAUUAUUGUCAAUUAUGAUCGAUUAUCUACAGCAACGUAUAUGAUCGAGAUUCUUCGAGAAGUAAAUAAAUACAUCGAUAAAUCUCUUAGAAAUUUUUAACAAAAAAAUAAAAGAUACUUAUUUUCAAACUUUUAUAUUUUCAAAUUUUAGCGGCUGAAUGCUACGCACAGAUUAAUUCUCGUGUUUGUUAUCUUUCGUGUUUAAUUUUUUAAUUAAAAACUAACGUUUUUACGUAUUCCGUACUUACCGAAUCAAUAUAUAAGAUGAAAAGCAUCCCAAAGUAAUAAAUUUUUAUAAACAAUGAUGUACAUAUUUAAUAAUUGUGUACGUGUGUGUAUAUAUAUAUACAUAUAUGCGCAAAACAAUGCGUCACCUGCGUUACGUAAGGCGCGCCAGAGGCGAUGUCGUUACGAAAAUGGCUUAAGCCCGCGUUAAUUAAGGAAGGCUUUAGCUAGUACCGGCUAUAAUCACCCGCGGCGGGCGUCGCCAUGGCGACUGUAGAAUGCGUAGAAAAUGGCCGCGAGAUGAGGAAAUGAAUGAACCGGAGUCGGAUAGGAGAAAGGGAGGCCAGGGCUGUCAGUGCAACUGUUUUUACAAGACGGGAUCGUCGGUCAUUUGUCAGUCUCUCUUCGUCUCGUCCUUCCUAUUGCUCUUCGAGACAGCCUACCUGUUAUGACUAGUAUAGUUAUUACACCACAAAUGACUGUAUUAUCUUCAUGUCGUAUACUAUUUUACAGACCUAACGAAUCCUACACGGAACCCAUGGCAUAUAUAGAGACAGCAAAAAAAGUGAGGUUGUUAGAAAGAAGGCUAUGAUAACGAGAGAGAAAAAAUCCGUAGAUCGGUUAAUUCUCUGGGCAAUACAAAGUACUCGAAUACUUUACGUCGCAAUCAGUCGGGACAGUAGGAUAGAGCGAGAUCGGUAUCUGUCCGGUCCAGUCCGGUAUAGUACGGUUACACGAGAGGUUGCCGAUUAAUGCAAAUGUCUAACCUAUUGCGGUGCAUGGCAUAGGCCCGGUCUAACUGAUGGGCCGAUCGCGGAAAACCGAGGAGGAUGGAAUCGAGAGAACGGGGCGAGCAAGCGAGCGAGACUGACGACGAUAUGGACAUGGAGUUGUCCAGGGGUUGGCGCACGGAGAAGGGUAUAGGAGAGGGUCUAUUCUGAAUUACCCUCGGCCUAAACUGGACCUGCUCCACGACGACCGUUCGACCGCAGCGCUUCAAUUUAGAAUGCUAAUCAGGCGGCGUUCCUCCCUCCGUCCCGUCCCACACCCGGUCGACACACCGGCCAUUGCGCCGCCGGUUUAAUGUCUAUACGUGUAUUCAUCCCUUAAUCUGCCGGUACUUCAAGGGUCAGAGGUGAGGCCGCCUUUAACCGGGUUGCUAGUGCCACUAUGUCAAUGUCUCUGCCGUAGGAGAAUUCUCGCCGCAGUGAGAGGUCGUAGCGAUCGCUGCAACAUCCUUCUGGCAAAGCCGAGAAUAGUUGGAGGAGCCGCCCGAGGACUCAACCCAGUCCCCUCGCUUUGAUCUCACGUCAGGACAAGUAUAUAGACGAACGUGUGCUUGGAGGCCGGACCAUUGAUCGAUGGACGUUCCCUGCCUGUCAGCAGAAUCGUGCGAUGAAUGAUAGCAAGUUGCCUCGAGACAUCACCCUGUUGCCGGUACCACGAAAUUGCAAAACUUUAUCUCUCUCUCGGUACUGUUAAUAACAAGCAAGUAUACAAUAAUAGUCUAUUCAACAGAUCUUGUAAUAAAAUAAACUCCACGGGCGAAAAUUCAAAUAUAAACUCGCUAUAAACAGCUAUUGGAUAAAGUCUCUCGAUAUAGAUGUCUGUCUUACAAAGUCUCGUCGUUCUUGAACCAAUUACUCAAAAUUACUCAAAAUUCGUGCAAGAUAACGCAGUGAUAUCCAAUAUCGCGGUUCAUGAUUCGCAAUUAUAACCUACAGCUUAUCUAAUCCCGCAUUAAAUCGUUUUACCGCGCAUAAUAAUUGCACGAGCCACGAUAUAGAUAUCUUCGUGAUUAAUUUUCCUUAAACGGGCAAGCACCCCCCUUCCCUCCCCCUCCCUGUUGGACGAAGAUAUCUCCAACUAUGCUUUAAGUAUCUCCUGUUUAAAAAGAACGGUAGAUCAGAAGACAGAAUUUCAAUUAAACAUUUACGCCGUGCGAAAAGUCCUCCGACGCUUUCGUAACUUUACGUGGAACGGCUCCAGAAUCACUUAAAUCAUUUAUUAAUCCGCCUGAUGGAAAUGCCUCGCUGUACGCAGGAAAAUUCUCGGUGCCCUCUAGCAAUCUCUAAUUAGUGAACUUGUUAAUUAGCUAAUAACAAUGAAAAUACCGCUAGCACAAACUCGUAAUCAAAACUCAAGGUCUCGACGUAAUCAAUCAACGUAUAAGUAAAAAAGAUAUCUUCAAAACAAAUCGAAGCUUCAAAAUAAAGAUUAUUGAACGAGUUCGUAGGGUAAAAAAAAAAUAAAGCACGCAAUUAUCACGUCGGGUGGCGAGCCAGUAACUCUGCGCGGGAUUUAAAUAAAAUUAUCGGCAAUUCCAUGAACAAUCCGACACGCUCCGAAUACAAGUGUCAAGCUAAAUUACGUAGCGGUGAUGUAAAAACUUGCAGACACGCACGCGCGCUCGGGGCACGAAAGAAGAGGAUUUUGUUUAAAUUCGCAUUUAAUUUUACCGCGCGAAAUCCGAAUAACGAUUUAAUUUACGUCCCGCCGGUAUAUUCAUCGCGUCCGAAAGAAAAUUAAUGGAUUUUACGCCAACGGCGAAAGCCGGACAUACUACUAAAUUAUCAAGAGAGCGCUCAUGUAAUGCACGAGCUGACGCGGCUAGUCACGUUACAUUGCCGCGAACUGAACAAAGAGUACACACUGAAAACGCACACUUUACUCGGCAAACAAGAUUUAUAUUCAGACACAGUUUCUGAGAUAAAUGGGACUAGACCUUUAUCUCAUCAGUUGAAUAUGAGAAAUACGCGCGCACAAAACGACCCUUGCUUUCAUUCAGCUGGUUAUACGUAAUAUUUAAUUGCAAUUUAAACGACGAUAUCAAACGGAGCAAAAUUACCAUAGGCGCAAAAGGAAACACUACAGAAUUACAAUUUCAAUCGCGGCGAUGCUAUACAAUUGCUUUCCGAGUUGCAAUGCCCCACUUUACUCAAUGACACGAUAAAAGCAACUGGAACAGGCCGUCGCUGAAGAGAAAUAAAUUACCGCCAAACGUAUCGUUAUACGCGCGCUGCAGCGUUUUUAUUUAGAAAAAAAAAAAAACUAUCGUGAAAUCCUUUGAUUACUUCCAACAACUUCGUUAAAAUGUAAUCGUCUCGCACUUUCGCAUAACCAUUUUGAUCCGAGAGAAAUCAUUCCUGUUAACGCGAGCGUGAUAUCAAUUAUUAACAAAGAAAAUAAAAUGCAUCGCGCAAGUAAAAGAAAAUUAAAUAAUCUGAAUUUCAAUUGAGUAAGUUUCCCAUAUAUGCACAGUUCUAUUAAUAAAUUUAUUUUACUGCAAAUUUAAACACACACAUAUCAUUAAACGCGCGCGCAUCUGUGUGUGUGUGUUCGAAUUUCUAGCGAAAAGCAAAUCCAUAAUUAAAGAGACCUCUUUCCCGAAACUUAUAUGUCCAUUUAAAUUCGCCAAUGUAGAUUAAUUUUGAUCUCAGCUUACUCUUUUCAUCUUUUUCUAAUUCCCAGAAGAGAAAAAGAUGAAGAGCAAGUUGAACCAAAAUCAAUCUACACUGAUGGAAAUGAGUAUUACAGAUUCAAAAUGAUACUUUCCAGCAUUUUGAAAACUGAUCGAAAUUCUCUGAUUAAUUAAAUUGAGCUUUUCUGGACCGGCGAAUGUACGAGUUUAGCUAAACCCGAAGAGUAAUUAAAUUUUCAUCGAGACACGUCCUCGACUCGGCUCGAUGGUUGUCGAUCCGUGCCGCGUUGACGCGCGACCACGCAAAUUGCACAAUCGACAGGUGGCGAUGAUGAUUUUGAGUCCGGAGGAGCGACACGUUGAUUGCAAACGCGGUCACGUUCUUCUCCAGGGAUAUAUAUCAAUCCCAAAAGACAUGCUAAUCACGCGCCAUUCUUGUGCAUCGACACCGCCAUAUUCUCCGCUGCUCUUCCGCCUUCAAAUUUUCGACGCACCUGGGCUUCGUACACACGACACGACAUACGAUAGCAAAGGUUGAUAUUUCAAUUCAACUGCCACUAAGCCUAGAAAGAUUAGACGUUUUAAAAAAAAGCAAACAUUAUUACUAGGUUAGCAAAUAUUAACUCGUUAACUAAAUAAUAGCCGAGGAUGAUAAUUUCAUUUUACGUGAAUUACGACAAUGCACCCUGGUAACACGAGUAAACAAAUACAACUGUAUGCGAAUAAUAUUUGACAAUUUUUCGUGCAUAGUGAAUUAAAUGAAGACGCUAUCUAUUUUUCGCUAUAUUUGUGUUCUACAAAAUUAUUUUAAUUCCUGCACGAUAAAUUCAGCAACAAAUGUCUGCCAAAAGCAUUCUACAUGGAUGCAUAUAUGAAUGUUUUGGCAGGCAUCUAGAGUAAUCUUAAAUUAUAAAUACAUUUAAUCUUCUAUUGUUGAUUACGACUUGCAUUGGGAAACUUAUGGAGAGUAAUUGUAGCUUUUCCAACCUAUCUCCUACCGUAUCCGCUACAAUUAUUCUCCCUAAGUUUCCCAAUGCUAGCAAGUCAUAAUCAACAAUAGAAGAUUAAAUGUUACUCUAGACUCUAGAUGCCUGCCAAAACAUUUCUUACCAGGAUGCAUGUAGAAUGCUUUUGGCAGACGUUUGUUGAUGAAUUCAUCGUGCAAGAAUUAAAAUAAUUUUAUAGAACACAAAUGUAGCGAAAAAUAGAUAGCGUCUUCAUUUAAUUCACUAUGCAUGAAGAAUUGUCAAAUAUUAUUCGCGUACAAUUAUAUCUGUCUACUCGUGCUACCUGGGGCAAUGGCUUAGCGGAAUGUAAAAGGCGAAUAUCAAACUGAAUCACUUCCUAGAGAAAGAGAUAUAAUAUAAUAAAGAUUUUCGUUCACGACGUAAACAAUUUCUGAACCAAUCUGUUUAAUUCGGAAGCUUCAAAAUAUCAUCUGAGUGAAUGACCCAGUCCAUUUUCGGUGCGGCGGUUCCGUAGAUAGUCUAGUGCAUUUGCGAAACUCGGCAAUCGCAAAAAUGCCCGACUUGAAUCGCGAGAGGAUUCCCGGGGCCGUCGCGAGCUAGACCGAAAAAUCGAACGUGAUGAAACGCGGGGUACCUUUGGAGGAAGUACGCACGACGUGCGAGGGAAGGUCGAGAGAAUACGUAUUCAAAGCCAGUCCAUUCGGCAACGAGAUCCAGCCGAAAUUCCGAAAUUCAGAAACGCCCCGUUAUCUGCCCGCUUCUUCCUUCCCUGUUUCUCUCCCCCUGUCCGCCCCUCUCCCUCUUUCUCAUCUCUCUCUCGCGCCUCGGUCGGCGUGAAUGGUCCUGGUCUCCGCUUCCGUUGGUACGGACACAUUUGAUAUACGGACCGGUAUAUGCAUCACACGGCGCGCGCGGCCGUAUAUAGAUUACCGAAGGCGCGAGAGGAGGCACAAUGGAGUGUAAUCAACGCCGCCUGGAGCGGCGCACCGCGUCCGCGUUAAUAUUAAAUCGCGGCUCCUGCGGUUGUCUCGAGUGCUUAUCCCAGAGAUCUUCCUCUCCGCCUCUUCGUCAUACAGUUGCCGAUGCCGCUCAGCUACAGAUACCCCCUCUGACUGCGAGCUGUCCUUAACAGCGUUACCCCUGUCGCUGACACCCGCCUAAAAUUUCACCCUGUGUCUCCCUCGCUCGCGGUUGACUCGCGCGACAAAGAGAAAUCUUCGACGAUCGGCUCGCACGACACACACACACACACACACACACACGCACACACACACAUCAUUACACUCGUAAGUAAGUAGACACAUAUUAAGAUAGACUGCUUAUGAGAAGCGAAACCCUAGAUGAGAGUGUCUUCCGCAAAAAAAAAAAGGGAAAAAACAAGUUAGUAGGGCACUUUUCUCUCUGACACAUAUUAGAUUAAAGAGAGAAGCUACCCUACUAAUUCGUUCCUUUUCUUUGUAGAGGACACCCUGUCCUACCUCAUAAGCAGUCUAUCUUAAUAUGUCUAUAGGUACACGCUAGAUAUGGACCUCCCUUAUGAUUACGCCGAUGGAUAAGCGAGACGAUCCGAUCUCACCUCGUAUCCCUCCAACGGUUCAACUACCCCUUCACUUGCACUUUAGAAUCGCGUUAGAGGACGCGAUACGAUCGCGCUGCCUCUUUACGAGAUACGAACCGCUUAUUAUCCACGGGUAAUUGGAGCGGAGAUAAUCGAUGCGCGCGGAUGCUAUAGAACACGAUAAUGUAGAGCGCGGCAACCUGGUAACAGUUAAUUCAUCGUCAAAUAUUAUCCAAUAUCUCGGAGUGUCAUCGCUUUGAAAACAGAUUUCCCCCCCACAAGUUUGGAAUUUCUUGUUAAUUGUCGCCACGUGAUACGAAGUAGGAUCAUGAUCCUCGACGUUAAAUGCCCUUUAACCACCGAACGCACGUGCUUCUUUUGCCAUUCGAGUAAUUUAAAUCUGUUUAAACGAUUAAAACGAUUAAAGGGAAAGGAGUUAUCAGAGAUCAGAGAUAAUUACAUUAAAUCUCUCUCGCAGAAAAGAAUUAUAUAUUCCCUUUUAGUUAUAUCUCGAGACGUCUACCAACUUUAUUUUACAAUUAAUGAAAUAUUCUUCCCUUUAUUUUAUUCAAACUCUUAUAAUGUCUUCAAAUAUCAAAAAGAUAUAUGUUAAAUUAUGCAACGACAAAUUAAAAUCAGUUAAAAUAGAUUUGUUAUCAUAAAAUACGAUCGUUUCGUCAGAGAAUUUAUUGUUUAUAUAUCUCUUUUAUAGUGACUCCACCCCGUUCUCCUAGGGCAAAUGUAUUGUUUGUCACUAUCGCAUCUCAAACGCAUAUUGAUAAAUGCAGUCACACAGCGCAUUUAUCUGCAAUCUGAAAUUACGAUGGACACUCGAUAUUGUAAUUGCAGCUCGGACGUAAAACGAGGCGGAUGCACAUAUCGCGCAUUAUGUUAAAUAUGCUAACGAUGAAUAUUCAGGGAACGCUGUGACCGAGAGCACACAUGCAUAUUCCGCGGCGCAAGCGCACGAGUGAUAAGUAGGUCGCUCCGAUUCUCGAAUGACGCAGCGAAGUUACGACUUGUAACGUGACGAUAAAUCCGAAUAGGUAUAUGCGCAAGCUGAGUUUAUAACUCUCGUGCCAUCGAGGAAUCAUUAGCACACGAUACGUAGAUAUAUUUGGCACUAAUCGUGAUAAUGCCUCCCCUCCCUUUCCUGCCAUCCUCCCCUCUCUCUCACCGCCGAGAAUAAUAAACCGAAGAAGUGCCGAUUUCUCGCCAUCAAUUAAGUCGGCCAUCGCGUUUCUCGACGACGUGCGACAUCAUUUUUACAUAUAAUUUGCGAUUACGCGACUAUAAUUUUCCGGUCCGUCAGUUAUAAAACGCUUUUUAUGGUGCUGCUUAUCACAGUGGUCCGUUAACGCUCUCUCAUCGAUCGUUAAAAAGUUUACCGUCGGCUGUGAGACCCAUUCACAGUGUAGUUAUAAGCUUUAACAUUGCGCAAUGACGAGCGUAAAAAGUAUAUAUUCACCGUGGAUGUAAACCGAAUGUAAAGAUAAGGUCAUCUGUGUUCUCUCUUUUAACUUCAUUCCCGGACCAAACAUAAACCAGCUUGUCGGAUGAAUGAACCAACUCACUUUCAGUCUUCUAAAACUUGAUAGUUUCCUUUUAGGUUUCAUGAGAUCUUCAAGAUCUCUGAUAUCUGACAAAUGCGAGGAGCGCAUUGCGAUAUCAGAAAAUCACUCUGUAAAUGAAAACGUAGGAUCUACCUCGCGAUUCGACGCGUCGCGUUCACCAAGUUGAGCAAUUUAUCAUUUGCUAUUUACCAUUUACUUAUUAUGCAAAUCCUCCGCUGCUAUGCUCCGCUAUCAUUAAUCCUCAAGUCAUGUCGCAUCAUGCUUUUCUCAUUUAAUCUACGUGAUGCUGUGCUUUAUGCAACCGUAAGGUCUUUAGGUGAAAAAACUUUUCAUUAGAAAAAAAUGUUUAUGAGUUACUGACAUAAUGUUGAAAGAAGAAUUGUAAAAAGGAGAUUAGACGGGGGUAUUAACGUUUUCAGCACCACCCGUGAAAUGUCUGCCAAUUUGACUUUGAUAAACAACGCCAGCGCGCGUUUUAAUAACAAGAUAGCCGAAGCUACUACUAACAACGAGAUUCGAGGCACGUUCCAGACCCGGCUCAAUAUUGGACGGUUUCAAAGAUGCCCCCGCGUCCUUAUCAAAGACGCCCCGGUUAUCGAGGAGAGCGAAAACGGAGAUUCAGUUGACUUCACCAACUGUGUAUGUGUGUGUGUAUGUAUGUAGUAUGUAUGUAUGUACGUAUGUAUGUAUGUGUAUGUGUGUGCGUGUGUAGAGUCAACCCUCCUCCGAUUUCUUGCCCAGCGCACCCCUCCUCGCCGCCCCCGCGACGCCGCGUAAUCGCGCACCCUCGCGCAAUCGCAAGUCUGCUCCCCUUGCGGAAUAGGUGAGCGGAUUCCGCGACUCUCUGGUCGGUACCACCAUCGGAUAUAUAUCUACCGUCGGGUGGCGUACUUCGGGGACAUUUUCGUUAUCUCGGGAGAACGUCAGCUUUCGUUAUCUGCGGAGAGAUAACCGCCGGCAUUAAGGCGGGGACGAAGACGAUCCCGCCCGACAAGGGACGAAAUUUAAUUCGCUCUGAUACGCCGCGCGCGCGCGCGUGCGUUUCUGUACACCGAUUUUCGGCGCACUCCGAGGUUACAUUCCGUGCCGGUAUCGUUAUACCCAGGGUAACGGAUGCCUCGGGGGGAGCGUGCGCCGAAACGUCCUUUUUCAUCGUGAUGAUAAAUGAAGCGCUGAGAGUUAUAUAGAUCUAAGCCGCAGAGACAGAGGCGCAGGAAGAGAGCAAACGAGAUAGAGAGAAGGAGAGAAAGUAGGAGAAUAAAGCGGAAAUUUGGAGAACUGUAAUUCUACUAUUAAAUAAUUUAUACAUUAAUUUGCCCAUCGCGUGGGGGAUUAUAUCAAAUAAACAUUUAACUAUUUCAAGUGUCUAAAGUGAAUAUGUUAGCUUAAACAAAUUUUAUAAUCCUCCGUAAACUUUACGAGUAGGACCAUAAAAUGUACUAAUUCAAAGGUAAAUUCUUGCAACGAGGAGAACAAAUAAAUUUGGAGUAUUACAAUGUUGCUGUUAGACAAAAUUUGUAUAUUUACCUAUUGUGAGAAUGUGUCAAAUAAGUAUUUAAUUAUUUCAACAAUCAGACUAAAAAGCGACGAUAUUGUUUUAAAUAAAUUUUAUAAUUCUCCGCAUUGGAUAGCUUUAUACAAGCAAAAGGAAUAUAAGAUCCCUGUUACUAACUCUAGAAUAAAUUCUCAUAACAGACGAGAAACAUGGAGCUAACGGAAAGUAUUAAUUCUGCCGCGUACAAUGCUGCGUCAAAUUGCGCUACGCUGAGAUGACCCUCCUUCGAUAACUUCGCUAUAAAUGUCUAACAAGCACUCCGGCCGUUAUGAGCACAAAGCAGGAUAAAGUGGAAUGUUACAGCUUUAUGGGCAUAGCUUCAUCCUAGAGUAGCCCAAGGCAACACCCGGGCAGAAUAUCCAUCCGGCGUUAACGCGAGGGCGGCCCGGGUCUCAGUGUCGAAUUCCGGGGAUAACCCGUGGAUAGGCUAUUUGCUGGCAGCCCGGGCCUUUGUGACUAGAGUUUCGUUAAGCGUCAAAUUUCGUUCGGAUCGCUCUACGGCGCGCGAGUCGAGCUGCUGCUAUUCGACGUUUCCUAGUCAAGAGCGUUUCGAUGUUCCCGUCACGUCGGUCCUAUAAAGUCCGCGUACGGCCUCCCGCGCGCCAGGUACGCAACGCAACGGCAGUGAGAGGGGAAAAAAACUUCUGACUCCGAUAUUCGACUUUUAAUACAACGUGGGCCGAGAACGGGCAUCUGUAUUUUAAGCGUCGCGCGUCGCGGUAAUGACAGAAAAGUUUCUCUCUCGCGCACCGGAGUUGUAAAAAUUCUCCUCUUUUUACGCCGAGAUUUUUUCCCACGCGGACGGUAAAAUAUGCGAACUAUGCAGAAAAUAAAGAUAUUUCUCACGUAGAGUUUUACAAUUGACGCGUGGAUAUCUGCUACAUUAAUUUCAAAUAUAAAUGAGGGAAGAAAUCGUAUAAAUUACUGCGUUUCCAAAGUAAACGUCUUCGAUUAAAACAAUAGGAUAUUCAUAAUUUAAUUGAUCUAAAACGUCCUAUCCUAAAGUUAUUCGUUUUUUUAUUAGUUAUGCCUUUUUAUUUUCUAUCCAUAGGUGUCGCGUUUUAAUUCAAAUUUUAGUCAAGUUUUAGUUCAAAUUCUUUCUUAACGAGCUACAAGUGCAGUUGUAUCAAAUAUAGUAAUUUUAUCUACAAAACUAUGUCUAUUUUUUGCCGUAUAGUAAAACUAAUUGCUAUAAAUAAAAUAACAAAUGUUGAGGCGAAUUUCCGUUUAAUUAAAUGCGACAAAAGAAACGCGUGUAAAAACGAUUUGGCAGUACAUUCCGUACAAUUUUAUCGCCUCUAUGAAACUUUCUUAAGGUUACUACUUUAUACCGGUGGCCCGGCAUGCACCUGCGCUCUUGCAAACUUCAGUCAGCGGCACGAAACAAACUGACGUGCUGACUGAACGUUAGAAACUUGCUGAAGCAAUCAACAUUUCCGGGAUACUCUUAGAACUACGUCAAUUAAGCGGCCAGUGUGUUUGGGCAACUUUAUACGAAGCCGCGGACAGGCUUCGUCUUAAUUCGCGUUGCCGAAAUAAUUCCUACCGCGGCCGCAUGCAAUGCGCUGCUAUUUCCAUUGCGGAUGCAUAGAUUGCACACCUACAUCGCCGAAGAUACAGAUGUACUUGAGAUAAUACGAACAACUCUAAACGAGCAAUUCUUUCGGCUUCCGUUGAAAAAAAUAAAUUUUUUAUUAAAGAUAAAAUAUUCUAAAUUUCAAUAUUCUAAAAUUUAGAGAUAAAAAUUCGUCGUAUUUUAUAUAUAGAAAUAAUUUAUAAUAUUCGCAAAUCUUAACUAGAAAAAAAAUAGUAUUUAGCGAAUUAAGUAUACGUCUUAAUAUAUAACCAUAAGUGAUAAAUUAAUAACAAUAUUAUGAAGUCAGAUAUAUAUUUUAUAACAGUAUGCUCAUAUAUUUCACUAUAAAAAAUCUUGUCGAUCGUGAUUUCAAUCGAGUUGAGAUUACGCGCAGAAAGUUAGCGGCUGUUCGCGCAUAAAGUGGGCGAUAAAAGAUACGUUCUCCUGCGUCUGAAAACCAGUAAGAAACUCGCGCGAUUCAUUAAAAACUUCGCACCAAUCUUUGCUUUGAAUUAUUGAGCGCUGGUUAUCGUUAAGUCACCUUUAAAAGAGAAAGAGAGAGAGAGAGAGAGAAAGGAAAAGUAGAUUUCUAAUCUACACUAACUUUUUAACGAUCAAAAUUAACAGCUCUAAAACAUGGGUCUAUCUCGAACGAGUUUGCAACAAAGAUUAUAAUAUUAUCCAUAAUUUCUCAAUAUUAUAUUUUUUUUAAAUAAAGUAUGCUCCAAAACAGCAAGGUAUGAAAAAAAUAAAAACAAAUGCGAAUUCAUGUGUGCGUGUAUGUGAGCAUAAAAUAAAUACAUUAUAAAAUAGUAAGUAAAUUAAAAAAUAGGACUAAAUAAGAAUAGUCUUCCUCAAGUCUCUAAUUAUUGCUGGUUACGCGUAAACGCCAGACGUUAGACGAGCACAGCCUCCGUUCAAGAGCAGAUGGAAGUGACAAACGGACCGCACCCUAUCCCGUUGUCUCAAGCUAAGCUUGCAUUUCGAAUCUACCCCGUUAAUGAAAUUGCGGAGGAUGCCUAUUAUUGAUCACAGGCCAGAACGAUGGUAUAAACGGCGCAAAAUGCACCGAGACGAGAAAAGAGAGAGAGAGAGAGAGAAAGAGAGGGAGGGAGAGAGGGAGGGUGAGAGAGAGGGACGCAGGCACGAGACAGAGAAAGCGAGGAGCAGGAAGCAGGGCAAUGAAUUAACAUACCAAAGGGCGGACACACUGAACUCGGAAAAUACGACCUUCUCAUUUUUUUAGUUUCCCCGCCCCCUUAUGCGCUCCCGCGCUCCACCACGCCAUUGGGGCGGCUGCUGCAGAGUACCCGGCGGCGUUAGCACUUAAUGAAAAUCUACAA